GAUCAUAUCAAUAUCCUAAAACCUGUAAACAUAUAGUACAGGACUCUUUGAAGUACACGUCUCCUUUACUAUGAGUGCCUUUAGAGCCAUGCUAGUGUGAGACAAUAUCGUGAUUAUUAAUAAAGUUUUAAUUUUGUAAAGUAACAAAUACAGUGUUUUCACUAUUGACUGAAAUCGCUGGAUAUUUGUUGAAGGAAACCUCUUUCUGAACUCUGAUAAAAAUGUAUUCCAAGAGGAAGAAUGGACUAUCCCAGCCUGGGUUGCCUUCUCAGUGAGAGAGAUGAUUAAUGAACUUGCAUAUCAAUUAACACUGGAAUUGUUUGGAUUGACUUAAAACCGGAAUAGUACUGUCUCAGACUUGAAAUUUUGUCCUUUGCCUGGUAUUAAUAUCUUGGUGUUUUACUCUAUAACUGUUUUCUAGGGUGAAAAUGUUUUACAUCUUUGUACCACUUGUCUCUUUGUGCACUUAUUUUGUAAUAAAUGUAUUUACAUUGAAAACUAAUACCUUUUUGGGGCCAAUCUUUCAUUUAUUGAGGCAUUGAAAAGAGAAUGGGGUUAUAGCAGAUGUACACAUGUCAAGAGUGCAAUGGCUAUGCACAAUAAACUAAACUCCUGAGUAAGUCAUUCAUUUUUUAAAUAAGCAAGCUAAGCAAACACAUCUAAGCAUUAAACAGAACUGUAACAUUAGGCAUUUCAGAUCAUCUAGACAUGUGUAGAAGUAGCAGAGAGAGAGAAAAAUUGCCUUUGCUAAAAACAUGCUAACCUGACAUGAGGAAGAUGAAGGGCAUAGUGCCAUGAGCAGUACUACAAUAAUGCUAUCAGGAGGAGUGAAGUACCACUUGGUAACUAAACUGGGCUAUUGCAGUGGAGCGAUAAAAGCACAUUAGUCGAGUAGAG